AGUUAAUUCUUUCAUAUUAAGCGGAGAUAUGAAGCUGUUGCCUGUAUUUAAGAAGUUGGUCCUCAUUCCAACUGGAACUGACUUCUGUGUAUGAAAUAAGGAGAUACUACAUUGCAAUGAAAUCAUCAAAAGGAAGACAUUUGGAAAGAAGAGUAAAUAUCAAAUGAUCUGGCCAAGAAGAUACUGAUUGUAGCACUUCUUUAAAAGAUGGUCAACUGGAAUUUUUCCUUAUAAGUUAAUUGUUACCUGUAAAGUGGUUGUGAAAUCUGAAACUAUUGAGGUCUACUAUUUGGAAAGUAAUAAAAUUAAAGCACAU